rnacentral:rRNA from 1 species
CCUACGGGUGACAGCAGUGAGGAAUAUUGGUCAAUGGUCGGGAGACUGAACCAGCCAAGCCGCGUGAGGGAUGAAGGUACAGAGUAUCGUAAACCUCUUUUGUCAGGGAACAAAGGCGGGGACGUGUCCCCGGAUGAGUGUACCUGAAGAAAAAGCAUCGGCUAACUCCGUGCCAGCAGCCGCGGUAAUACGGGGGAUGCGAGCGUUAUCCGGAUUUAUGGGGUUUAAAGGGUGCGCAGGCGGUCUGUUAAGUCAGCGGUCAAAGCCCGGGGCUCAACCCCGGCCCGCCGUUGAAACUGGCAGUCUCGAGUUGGAGAGAAGUAUGCGGAAUGCGCGGUGUAGCGGUGAAAUGCAUAGAUAUCGCGCAGAACUCCGAUUGCGAAGGCAGCAUGCCGGCUCCACACUGACGCUGAGGCACGAAAGCGUGGGUAUCGAACAGGAUUAGAUACCCUUGUAGUC